AGAUUAAAAGGAGUUAACAUAAGCCCGUCACAUCCUUUAUAUCCACCAUCCAGGUCACUAGGUAUACCCAUCACAUUUUCUGCUGAAAAAAAAUGACAAUAGUUAUAAAAGCCAUGUUGAUAUUUAGGUUGAACAGGAUUCAUUAUGCUGUCCUCAUAUGGCAGUAAGAGUUAAGACUGUCAUCCUCCAUUUUAGCUGAAAAGAAUUCUGUGAGUGAAUGUGGCAGUUAACAGUCACUGAGGAAUGCUGACUAUCCCCAGAUUUUUUUUGUCUUGCUCUCACACAACGAUAGAUUAGAAAAAUCAAUCCCACUGGUUCUAUGGCAAGGAGAGGAUUGCCUAUGAGAGCAAUGUGCCUCAGAAUGUGCCCUGCUAAAGGAGCCUCCACAAAAAGACUUGCCCAGAAUUGAGCCCCUAAGGAGGGAAGGCAAGAUGCCUUAGAGAAUUAAGCUGUCAACAGCUCAGCCUCCUGUGACUAACUCUUUUUCCUUCUAAGGGCAACUUCCCUUUUCCCCUUUCACCCUUCCAUCUGAGGGGAAAAAAAAUAAUUCAUGAAGUCAUUCCCCCUUUCACCCAGUUCUUUUCUUGAAGAGAAAAAGGGUAAAGGAUACAUGAUCAGGAGAAGCUGACCAGGUUUUUAAAAGUUAUUUUAGUGCUGUUCUGUUAAGUCUUAAGAGGCAGCCUUUAGCUACAUAAGACUAGACAUUUUCUAAUCUAGAACUUAAGGAUCCAGAAUAAAAUACCCAGAGGGAAGCACAGAAUUGUGGCUUUCAAAAAAAAAAGUUGAAGAUGAAUUUCUUAAAUCAUAUUAGAGCUAAGAGAUAAUAGGGACCAGAAGGCUCAAGUUUGGUCUGGGAUACAUUCUGGCUACGAUAGCAAGAAAUAGUUCAUUGUUCAUAGCUAAUACAAAUGACAUCAAGUGGGGAUAGGUAGGAUAUCCUUAUUAAAGAUGAGGAAAAUGGAGGUUCAAUAAGUUAAAUGACAGUCAUAUACUUGAUUUUGUAUCUAAAAUUUGAACUCAGGACCACUUGAUUUCAAAUCUAGAUUUCAUGCCAUUACACUUCAGCAGCAGAAAAGGAGUUGGCAGGUGGUUGGAGGUGGUUAUGAUGAUCUGAGGAGAUGGGGGAUGGGGAGAGGGGAGAAGGGAAGGUCAUCUCUACCACCAAGAAAGGACAAGUUAUUCUCAGGAAAAGAACCGGACUACACAUUGUCAACCUUGCUUCCAGUCCAGUUCCAAUAACUACACUAUUUGGUUGCUCAGGACCAACUUUAUAUUUUGUCCAAAUCCAAGCCCCAGAUUUAUCCCUCAGAUAAUUGCCUUUCUUCCUGUUUUUUUUUUCCCCCCCUCAAAGUUCUUCCCUUUGCAGUUGAGCUAGUAUUAGCCCCACCUUCCCAAGCCUGUGCCCAUCACUGGCUUUAGUGCAGCUGCUAGUCCUUAGGUGUUUAAAAUAAAAAUUUACUGACAUAGGAGAGCAUCAGUUCUCAGGCAAGUCAGUCGGUGUCUUGACACCUUCCCUCUUAAUCUAGCAGUCUCCAAAUUCCAUCGCUCCCAACCCAGGGAAGCCUUUUCUCCAAGCUCAGAUAAAGUGGCAGAAGCAAAAAGACAUGUAAAGUCACCUUGAGGGGAGAUCCUGGAGUAGAUGUUCCAGAAGGGAAUUUAGGAGCAGCAGAAAUUUGCUUCACUGUAUCCAUUGAUCCUAGUUCUACCCAAUAUCAAUCAAAAUAUUUGUUAAUCAAACAAGUAUUAUGUAUCAGACUUUUCACUAAACCCCAGCAAUACCAAAAAAGACAAAAGAGUCUGGGAAAAGAUGUGACUAGAAAGCAACAAAGUAUUAUGGAAGAUAACAGAAGGGAGAAAAGGAAUAAGCAUUAUAUAAGAACCUGCUAUGUGUUCAGAUGCCAUUGGUGAUUGCCACUGUUUCCAUAUGACAGCAGUUCAAGCCACGAUGAUCUUGGAGAACUGCAGACAACCAACUUAGCAGGGAAGUCCGGAGAAGCUUAGGGUGUCUGGAACUUGGAAAUGGGCUUGUGCCAUAUAGGAACUAAGGUAAGCUAUGAACUUAAGGCUCCUCCCCAGAGACAAAGAAAAGCUGGAGAGGAAAGGGAGGAAGAUUAUGUUUCACAUGUUGAAGAGUCUGUUGAUAUAUUUGUUAUUAUACUUUUGAAGUAAAUAUUCCUUUGUAAAAGCAAAUCCAACUGUUAGUGGCUAAAUAAGACCCAUCCCUACAAUUGAAAGAAUGUCCAUCAUUGUAGGAGAGAGCCAAUGGCAGAGCACCAAAAUAACCCAAAUCCUCUUAAGGAUACCAGAGAAUCUUGGAGGAAGAAUGAGAUCCAACAUGCCAGACUUUCUAGGUAAUCAGGACUACAGUGGUCAGUGUUACAGAGAUAAGACUUUUCUAUCAAGAAACUUAUGUUUUACUAGAGUUUUUAGGCAUGUCCACAGUUAAGCAGAUAUUUAUCAUAUUCUGAUUUGCAUUAUAAGUACAUAUAAAGUGUUAUGAUAUCAGAUCAAAGAAAAGUGACCCUUAGCUGGGGAAGGGGAAGGCAGGGAAUCAAAAUAGUCUUCACAAAAUGAAAGGAAUUUUAGGUAUAAGGAAGAGCAUGAACCCAUUAGUUCAAUUUAACAGAUAUUAAGGGUUUACAAUGUACUGGGUGCUAUGUUAGGGAUGACAAGGGAAAAGGUAAUCCCUGAGCUUACAUGAGGGAUGGGGAGAAGCAGAGUUACAGUAUAUAGAGGUAAUGGGGCAAGGUAGGGAGUGGGGAGGGAGGGCCAAAAGAGAAAUCAGAAUCACUGCUCUCGAAAUAUUUGGAGAGAACCAAAGCACUCUCAACUGAGAAGAUCAGAAAUGGCAAAUGUGGAGAAGGUAUCCCCUCAACUGAGCCUCAAAGAAAAAUAAAGAUUCUAAAUGGGAAAAGUGAGAAAGAAAAUACAUUCCAGGUAUGGGGAAUGCACUCUACAAGUCAACAAAGAUGGGAGUUUGCUAUCAAGUUUGGACAACAACUAGAAUAAAAGGUGCACAAAGGAAAGAUAAGUUGGAGCUAGAUCAUAGUGUCCUUUAAAUGGCAGGAUGAGAAAUUUCUAUCAUGUCAAAAUCAUCAAGUUAGGGAGAAUGGUACAAACUGGAAAAACUUUAUCAUCAGUGUGCUAUGGGAAGAACUUCAGGGUCAUCAUUACUGCUAAAGCUUUGAAUUGUUUCUUUGAUUCUGUCCUAGAAAAUAAUUUGGAAUUAUUCCAGAAAAGUAACUACAUGAUUUUACCAAAGAGAUUACACUACUGGAUUCUUCCCCAAAGAGGAUUAUUGUAAAAUAUUCAAGUAUAAAAUAUUCAUUGCAGAUUAUUUAUGGUAACAAAAUCCUGCAAAUAAAAUAUAUACCCAAUGAUUGGGGAAGAGCUGAGCAAAUUGAUAUAAAAAUGUCAUGGGCUGUUAUAUACCCUAAGGAAUUCAGAGAAAAUUGGGAAAACAUGGAUGAGUUGAUGCAAAAUGAAAGAAAUGGUUAAAAGAACAAUAUAAACAAUAAUUACAAUGUUUUUCUUUAAAUUCAACACAGCUCUAGGGUAUAUGACAGUUAUAUUAACACUAGAGUUAAAGGAUGUAUCCUCUUAACAAUUCUUAAGUAAACUGUUUUGAUGGAAUGUACUUUAAAGGAAGUUUCUGUGGGUGUUUUGUCAGGAAGCAUCUGUUGUGCCAAUACAAAAUCUAUCAGUAUGUUUGAAACAAAAAGAGAAAAAAAAAACACAAGUGUUCUCCAGAUACUUUAUAAGCCAACAGGGAAUAGAGAUGAACUUGGGGAUAAAGAUGAACUCAUGGACUAAAGAAGCUAUCUCAAAAACUGGUAUUUUUCCAAUUUGACAAACAAUCUGCACAAAUAGAGCAAAUUAAGAUAUUGUCCAAACGGAACUCGGCUUCCCACCUCACAUCCAAAUUCAUCCCUUCUCCAAACUUGAUUAGUUCUACUAAAGGUAACACCAUUCUUCUAAUCAACCAUGUUCCCAGUGAGGAAUCAUCCUAAAUUUUUCCCUUCCCAGUUAUCCGGUAUCCCUCUACAUCUCUUGCAACUAUUUCCUUCUUUCCAUUUAUAUGGCUACUACCAGGGACCCUUAGUUGCUAAUAGAAGUAGACUCUACUACCUCACAACCAUUCAAAAAAAUCGUAUAUACUUAUGUGUAUAUAUCGA